rnacentral:rRNA from 1 species
UGAAGUGAAAGGCAGUGGNUCAACCAUUGUAGGCUUUGGAAACUGUUUAACUUGAGUGCAGAAGGGGAGAGUGGAAUUCCAUGNGUAGCGGUGAAAUGCGUAGAUAUAUGGAGGAACACCGGUGGCGAAAGCGGCUCUCUGGUCUGUAACUGACGCUGAGGCUCGAAAGCGUGGGGAGCGAACAGGAUUAGAUACCCUGGUAGUCCACGCCGUAAACGAUGAGUGCUAGGUGUUAGGUCCUUUCCGGGACUUAGUGCCGCAGCUAACGCAUUAAGCACUCCGCCUGGGGAGUACGACCGCAAGGUUGAAACUCAAAGGAAUUGACGGGGGCCCGCACAAGCGGUGGAGCAUGUGGUUUAAUUCGAAGCAACGCGAAGAACCUUACCAGGUCUUGACAUCCCGAUGCUAUUUCUAGAGAUAGGAAGUUUCUUCGGAACAUCGGUGACAGGUGGUGCAUGGUUGUCGUCAGCUCGUGUCGUGAGAUGUUGGGUUAAGUCCCGCAACGAGCGCAACCCUUAUUGUUAGUUGCCAUCAUUGAGUUGGGCACUCUAGCGAGACUGCCGGUAAUAAACCGGAGGAAGGUGGGGAUGACGUCAAAUCAUCAUGCCCCUUAUGACCUGGGCUACACACGUGCUACAAUGGCUGGUACAACGAGUCGCAAGCCGGUGACGGCAAGCUAAUCUCUGAAAGCCAGUCUCAGUUCGGAUUGUAGGCUGCAACUCGCCUACAUGAAGUCGGAAUCGCUAGUAAUCGCGGAUCAGCACGCCGCGGUGAAUACGUUCCCGGGCCUUGU